AAUGGCAGGACAACAUGCAAUUUUUACCAGCGCGAUCUGGUAUAUCGAGUUUGCAAUAUUUGUCAUUUUAUUUAUAUUGUUUUUCAAUUUGUUCCUGUAUAUGGCUGGAUUAAAUUAUCUAAAGUAUAACCCUAUGUACGAUUACUCGAAGAAAUACUUGGCUGACGGUACGUGGCUAAUACGUAAUUAACAUAAUACAUCACCUGAAGAAAUGAGUCCGUUGCUGGACAAUGGAACCCGUGAAGUAAUAAUACCAGUCGGACGGGUCGGACCAGAACACCGGGAAAGACCGGUAUGUUACGAACCAAGCUGCUUUUGGUUCUGUAGGGUGGUUGGCAGUAUUUUGACUUUGGGGUUAUGCUACCAUUUCGCCUAUGCCGUGAUUAAAGACACAAAACUUAAAUUUGGAAUGUUUGUGGUUUAAAAUAAAAAUUAAUAAGAAAA